CGAACGCUGGCGGCGUGCUUAACACAUGCAAGUCGAACGCGAAAGGGGACUUCGGUCCUGAGUAAAGUGGCGCACGGGUGAGUAACGCGUAGAUAACCUGUCUUCAUGUCUGGAAUAAUACGCCGAAAGGGGUACUAAUACCGGAUAUUCUUGCUUUUCAUAAGUUAUGCAAGCAAAGGUGGCCUCUGCAUAUGCUACUGCAUGAAGAGGGGUCUGCGUACCAUUAGCUAGUAGGUGGGGUAAUGGCCUACCUAGGCGACGAUGGUUAGCGGGUCUGAGAGGAUGAUCCGCCACACUGGCACUGGAACACGGGCCAGACUCCUACGGGAGGCAGCAGUGAGGAAUAUUGCGCAAUGGGGGAAACCCUGACGCAGCGACGCCGCGUGAGUGAAGGAAGGCCUUCGGGUCGUAAAGCUCUGUCAAGAGGAAAGAAGUGUACAAUGGCUAAUACCUGUUGUAUUUGACGGUACCUCUAAAGGAAGCACCGGCUAACUCCGUGCCAGCCGCAGC
rnacentral:rRNA from 1 species